UACGUAGGUGGCAAGCGUUGUCCGGAUUUACUGGGCGUAAAGAGCGCGCAGGCGGCUGGUCAAGUCCGAUGUGAAAUCUCCCGGCUUAACUGGGAAACUGCAUCGGAAACUGAUCGGCUUGAAGGUGGGAGAGGGUAGUGGAAUUCCCGGUGUAGUGGUGAAAUGCGUAGAUAUCUGGAGGAACACCGGUGGCGAAGGCGGCGUUCUGGACUGCAACUGACACUGAGGAACGAAAGCCAGGGGAGCAAACGGG
rnacentral:rRNA from 1 species